UACGAAGGGGGCGAGCGUUGUCCGAUGUCAUUGGGCGUAAAGAGUUCUGUAGGCGGAUUUAUAAGUUAUAGGUCAAAUCCAUUGGCUUAACCAAUGUUAUGCCUGUAAUACUGUAAACCUGGAGGAAGAUAGGGACCAGCGGAACGUAUGGUGUAGUAGUGAAAUGCGUUGAUAUCAUACGGAACACCGAAGGCGAAGGCAGCUGGUUGGAUCUUUCCUGACGCUGAGAGACGAAAGCGUGGGUAGCAAAAGGG
rnacentral:misc_RNA from 1 species